rnacentral:rRNA from 1 species
UACGUAGGUGGCAAGCGUUGUCCGGAUUUACUGGGCGUAAAGAGCGCGCAGGCGGUCAGAUAAGUCGAAUGUGAAAGCCCCCGGCUCAACUGGGGAGGGUCAUUCGAUACUGUUCGACUCGAAGGCAGGAGAGGGAAGCGGAAUUCCAGGUGUAGCGGUGAAAUGCGUAGAUAUGCGGAGGAACACCGAUGGCGAAGGCGGCAUUCUGGACCGAUAUUGACGCUGAGGAGCGAAAGCGUGGGGAGCGAACAGG